AUUGAACGCUGGCGGCAUGCCUUACACAUGCAAGUCGAACGGCAGCGGGCCCUUCGGGGUGCCGGCGAGUGGCGAACGGGUGAGUAAUGCAUCGGAACGUUCCCGGGAGAGGGGGAUAACCGGCCGAAAGGCUGGCUAAUACCGCAUGAACUCGGAAGAGCAAAGCGGGGGACCUUCGGGCCUCGCGCUCUCGGAGCGGCCGAGGUCCGAUUAGGCUAGUUGGUGGGGUAAAGGCCCACCAAGGCGACGAUCGGUAGCGGGUCUGAGAGGACGAUCCGCCACACUGGGACUGAGACACGGCCCAGGCUCCUACGGGAGGCAGCAGUGGGGAAUCUUGGACAAUGGGCGCAAGCCUGAUCCAGCAAUGCCGCGUGGGUGAAGAAGGCCUUCGGGUUGUAAAGCCCUUUCGGCGGGGAAGAAAUCGGUCAGGCGAAUAGUCUGGCUGGAUGACGGUACCCGCAGAAGAAGCACCGGCUAACUACGUG
rnacentral:rRNA from 1 species